rnacentral:rRNA from 1 species
AUGGCUCCAGGUUCAGCCGCCCUCGCUCUCAAAGCGGCCGCUGUCGCCUCCAUCCUCGCCAUGCUGGUCCCGCCCUCCCUGGGACGCUGUCCGUCGCUCGGCCCAGAGCCACCGGUGCCGGCUCCGGCGCCGGGGCUGGGGCAGGCGAUGCGGUGCGACGACUGUGGCCCGCACUGCAUCUCGACGUGCAGAGCCUCCGUCCCCCCGAAAUGCAGCAAGCCCUGCGGCGCUCCGAGCUGCGACGAGUGUAGGUCCGCCGCGUUCGACAAGUGCAGCAGGGCCGACUGCGCCGGCGCCAGCUGCGACGACUGCGACGGCGAAGCGACCCGAUCGUGCUACGACUCUUGCUCCAACAGCUCUGCGUGCGCGGACUGCACCAGGGCUGCCAGCAAGCAGUGCUCGGCGGACUGCAACAGCCACUGCGCCGCCACCUGCGUGUGA